GUGUCAGCCGCCGCGGUAAUACGUAGGGUGCAAGCGUUAAUCGGAAUUACUGGGCGUAAAGCGUGCGCAGGCGGUUUUGUAAGACAGAGGUGAAAUCCCCGGGCUCAACCUGGGAACUGCCUUUGUGACUGCAAGGCUAGAGUACGGCAGAGGGGGGUGGAAUUCCGCGUGUAGCAGUGAAAUGCGUAGAUAUGCGGAGGAACACCGAUGGCGAAGGCAACCCCCUGGGCCUGUACUGACGCUCAUGCACGAAAGCGUGGGGAGCAAACAGGAUUAGAAACCCUCGUAGUCC
rnacentral:rRNA from 1 species